ACCAUCAGAGAGGACAAGAAUAAUCUUAAAAUGGAUUACAUCAUAAUAUGACAUGGUAUAAAUUCUGUAUCUUUUCAUCUUACACUUUAAAACAUGUUAGAAAUUCCUUGCCUCAAAGAAUUUAAGGUCUAAUAUAAGUGACUAUAAAAUAAAUGACAAUUAUAAUACAUGGAUGUAUUAGUGAUGCACUUAUCUCUGAAAGACUAGAUUUUCUCAAAUAUAACAUGAAACUCUGAAUCAUAAAGUCAGAUUAUUAGUGCCAUCUAUACUUGUGAUCUAGCUUUGUUGCCAUUAGAGUUUUGUGUUUAAUCUUACUUCCUAGAGAUGCUGUGUAAGGCUCCAUUUUUCCAAGAGAAGAUUAAUACCGUUCAAAAACUGUUCUGAUCACUAACACAGCAUAUGCCGCAUUUUAUAAGGGUUUUAUGUCAGAAUGAAGUCAAAGAUGACAAAAGUUUCUAUGUUGCCAAGAGCCAUGAACUGAAAAAGUCUCUUUUAAUUACAUUUUCUCUUCAUUCUUUUUCUAUUUUCAAAGUUUCAAAAAUAGUAGCAAAAUUAUAUAAAGAAUAUCAUUUCAAAAUCCUUUCUUUCAUACUAA
rnacentral:lncRNA from 1 species